rnacentral:lncRNA from 1 species
CGAUGAUCGUACCCAGAUCCUUACAGCCCAUCCCUCCGUCCCUAUUGGGCCAGGCUGAGAGGGUGCUGGAUCUUGGUCUCAUCACAGUGAGGAUAGAGUCACAAUCCGCUGGGUUUUGAUGAGCGGACCACUGGGUCAUCACAUGACCUCACCCCAUCUCUGCCAUGGACAGGCUGUGCUUCCUUUAACAAGAAGGUCCUGAGUUUUCUCAUCUGGAGACCGUAAUAAUAACACUUAACAGGAUGUCUUUGGAACUUUCUACAUCCCCUGGAAAUUAGAAAGCUACAGUGUAACCUUGCCUUAGAAAAAAAAAUCAGAGUAAAUAAUCUCUUCAACGCUAUACCUUAUCUGGUUCUACCUCACAGGCUUUACUUCCCUAAGGUUUAGCAUCAACUCUGGUUUCUCGUUCAAAACAUCUGCGAAGGGACAGAAGCAAAGAAGCAUCUGGCUUGUCCCAGCAGAAUAUAGUCGUGAGACCCGAACAUUUAUUAAAGACAUGCUUUCCGUGACAUCCCGGAGAAAGCUAAAGGUAUUUAAAGUGACGUCUGGGAAGGACUCGGUAUUGUUCAGAGCAGUGUGUGAAAAGCCCCGGCAAACAGUCUACGUGAUUCAUCAAGUUCAGAGUUGUUGUCAUAACGUGUCUACUAAUAGUCAUUAAAGCAUCUUCGUUAGCCAGAGAUAAAUACCAGGGAACGCUCGGAAUCCAGCUCCCAUGCUUUCAAAGCUGCCUGGGAGCAGAGCAGUUGCUUAAGUGGCUUCGCUGCAUCCUGGCCUGAGGAUCCAGCUUCCAGAGCGUGAGGCGGGGAGAACCCACCCCGUGGGUGCCGCUGACACACGGCGGCGAAGGGCCUCGACCGGACGGUGUGGGCCCUUCACCCCAGGAUCGGGCGUCGGGGGUCUUCUGGGUGAGGAGGUGGCACUGCUGUCCCCAGACUCCGAGAUUCCAACAGCCCCGGCGGGAACCGGGUGGACGUCGUCCCUCUUCUCGCUGACCCGGGCCCCAUUGGCAGGAGCCUUAGCGAACCGGCCACCGGCACCACGAUUCAGGAUUCACCUGCUGCUCACUGUCACAGAAGAGAGGCAACUUGAGGCCCGAGCACUUGGGCCGAGCCACCUGAACAGGCAUGCCGCAUCAGAGCCGAUUCUUCUGGGAGCCAUGCGUGCUCUAACACUCUGAUUCAAGUUUCCUCUUCUGAUUCUAAAUCAUCGCAAGCAUAUUAAUUCUCCCCAGUUUUGUUCUGACUCCUGGUGAGAAGAAAACAG